rnacentral:rRNA from 1 species
CCCGGUGGUCAUGGCGGAGGGGAAACACCUGGUUCCAUUCCGAACCCAGCAGUUAAGCCCUCCAGCGCCGAUGGUACUGCUCGGGCAACUGGGUGGGAGAGUAGGACGCUGCCGGGA